CCUACGGGGGGCAGCAGUGGGGAAUAUUGCACAAUGGGGGAAACCCUGAUGCAGCGACGCCGCGUGAGUGAAGAAGUAUUUCGGUAUGUAAAGCUCUAUCAGCAGGGAAGAAAAUGACGGUACCUGAUUAAGAAGCCCCGGCUAACUACGUGCCAGCAGCCGCGGUAAUACGUAGGGGGCAAGCGUUAUCCGGAUUUACUGGGUGUAAAGGGGGCGUAGACGGCAGCACAAGUCUGGAGUGAAAUGCCGGGGCUUAACCCCGGAACUGCUUUGGAAACUGUGCAGCUAGAGUGCAGGAGAGGUAAGUGGAAGUCCUAGUGUAGCGGUGAAAUGCGUAGAUAUUAGGAGGAACAACAGUGGCGAAGGCGGCUUACUGGACUGUAACUGACGUUGAGGCUCGAAAGCGUGGGGAGCAAACAGGAUUAGAUACCCGGGUAGUC
rnacentral:rRNA from 1 species